UGCAUGACAUAUCAGCAUCUAGUCUAUUAAGUAGAUUUUUUUUUUUUUUUUGAUUCGGCGAACUGAAUUGACUCGUCGAAUCUGUGGUGCUCGCUGAGCAUAACACUAAUUUUAUAAAAUUAGACGUAAAAAUUAUUUUAAUCAAUUUAAUGUAUAAAUAAAAAAUUAUAAUAAAUUAAAAAUUGUGAAUUAAAAUGUUAUAGGUUUCAUAAUUUGAGAAGUAAAAGU
rnacentral:lncRNA from 1 species